UACGUGGGGGGGAAGCGUUGUUCGGAAUUACUGGGCGUAAAGGGCUCGUAGGCGGCCAACUAAGUCAGACGUGAAAUCCCUCAGCUUAACUGGGGAACUGCGUGUGAUACUGGAUGGCUUGGAUUUGGGAGAGGGAUGCGGAAUUCCAGGUGUAGCGGUGAAAUGCGUAGAUAUCUGGAGGAACACCGGUGGCGAAGGCGGUACCCUGGACAGAUAUUGACGCUGAGGAGCGAAAGCCAGGGGAGCAAACGGG
rnacentral:rRNA from 1 species